rnacentral:lncRNA from 1 species
AGCCUAAGACAGGAUGAGCUUCAGCACUUGAAGAGGAAAGCUUUAGCAGAAUUUAAGAAGCAAGCGUUAGAGUUGGAUGGCAAACAUGCUCUUCAAAAUAGUUAUGUUUAAUAUUUAACCAUAUUUUUCCUGAAUUCAUCUAGCUUAAAUUUCCAAAGCUUAACUUUUUUGAUCAGACUACAUGACUUCAUGAAGAACUCAAAGUGAAUGUAAAAAUACUUGAAAGCAGUGUUUUGUGUGCUGGUAUGACACUCGACCCUGAUUGUUAGGAGGCAUUGUCUUGUUCUGCAGCAGUGACUGAGCCUUCUUACCAGCAGGAGCUCAGGUUGCUGCCAGAUAAGUGGGCUAAUGGACAUAAAACCUGCUGCUGUUGCUGAAUUUACACACAGGAAGACUCUACGUGUUCAGCCUGCAUCUUGAUGGAGAAGAUUUGUUCAUCUAUCCAUUUACAAACAGCAGAAGGAACCACUAAUGGAAGUAUUUUAGUUUCCAUUCCAAAAGUUGGUAUCAGAUGGUUAUUGCAGCACACAUGGGACUGAAUUUCCUCUUCCUCUCUGCAGGUUACAGCGAGCCAUCAAAAAUAAACUGAAAAGGACAAAACCUUGCA